AACGAACGCUGGCGGCAUGCCUAACACAUGCAAGUCGAACGAAGUCUUCGGACUUAGUGGCGCACGGGUGCGUAACGCGUGGGAAUCUGCCCUUGGGUGCGGAAUAACUUCUCGAAAGGGAUGCUAAUACCGCAUAAUGUCGUAAGACUAAGAUUUAUCGCCCAAGGAUGAGCCCGCGUAAGAUUAGCUAGUUGGUGGGGUAAAAGCCUACCAAGGCGACGAUCUUUAGCUGGUCUGAGAGGAUGAUCAGCCACACUGGGACUGAGACACGGCCCAGACUCCUACGGAGGCAGCAGUGGGGAAUAUUGGACAAAUGGGCGGAAAGGACCGUCGAUCCACGCAAUAGCCGCGUCGAGUGAUGAAGGACCCGUACGGGUU
rnacentral:rRNA from 1 species